CGCCCGGUGUGGAUAUACACUCAGAGUAACACCACAAAUAUCAUAUACAGUCUUGUUCACCAAGGUUUAAACUAUAAGAAAAUGCAUGUUACCAGCUUCAAACAUAAAGUUGCCAUCAAACUCUCUUUAGAGGCAAUUUUUGCCACCUUGGCCGGCCGACUAGAUGGCUCCAGUUGAGAGACCAAAGACAAAUGAAAAUUUCGCUUCCCGCGAAAAAAUUCGCAAGUGGAAAACCGGCAUUAGCUUGGUCCGUUUUUGAAAUAUUUCACAAUUUCUGAUAUGCAAAUGAUCCUCAUUAUGACGCCACAUUGUACGACUUUCUGACUGAAAACCUCAAGAUCUUGGGAUAUUGUCAAUCGAAAUCAUAAAACCGUUCAUUAUGUUGACAAAUUUCAAUCAAUAAUCUAUAAAGUUAUAAAAUCUUUUCAGCAACCAUUUUGCACUCUG